UAAAAGAUAAUUGAAACCUCAGUUGCAAGGCCUAAUGUAGUACAGUAGUUAGGAAAGAUGGAGAGAGACACAGCCAAGAUCUGUUCAUUAGGAUGGAAGACCAGUACGUUGACCGUGUGAGGUACAGUGAUCAGGGCCAGGCACUUCUGUUUGGUUUAGAUGACCUACUAAUGUGGUCCUAAGCCAAUGCAGGGAUCCAGUCCAAUAAACAGUUGCAGCAUAGAGUCCUAGGCAGGUAGAGUUUUAUAAUCUAAGCAGAAUUCCUAUUAAAAGGAAAUCGGUAUGUUUCCCAGGAUGUUUAGAAUAGGAAAUACAAAAAGUCCAUCUCCUGAGGUAACACAGUACUCAGGUGCUGUUACCAAAUGAACAAAUAAGAGCUGUGGGUGAUGGAUGACAGCAAAUUCAAAGAGUAAUGCUGUGGAGUGGAACUGGCGGAAAAGAGGAACGUAAAAAUGAAGGUGAAGAGGAGUACACAUAUAUUCCUCUAUAGAUAACAUUGGUUUAGUUUCUACUAUUUUGUAGUAAAAUCAAUGCUUUUUUAAAACUGUCAUAAUUUUUCAGUUUUUAAAGAUGUAAAGUUCUUUGGUGAUCUUAAUCUCUGCUGGUAAAUUUUGAAUUCUGUGUAAACUUUUCAGUUACAGUUUUAGAAAUGAGGUGAAGUAAUAUUUUCUGUAUCUACUUUGCUAUUUUCAUUAUCAACAUCUUACUUUCCUCCCUCAAAGGGUUUUUUUCAGUUAAUGUGCAGUAAAAGUUGCUGUGUUUAUUUCCACAAAAUUUGUUGGAAAAAAUUCAAGAAUUUAAAAUAUCCAGGUGAAAAUGAUCAGAGUUUUAGUGGCAAAAAGUGUUUGAAGGAAGAAUGCACAGGUGACAUGGUAAGGAUGCUACAAUGCGAUAUACCUGGAAUUGUUAAAAUUUUGGUAAGUAUCUUUUUCUUACUUUUCUUGUUUACCUUCACUGGAGUAGAAUUUUUGUCUUGAAACAGAUUUGAAAAGAUUAAUAAUAAG
rnacentral:lncRNA from 1 species